CAAUAGGUUGAUGGCGACCGGCGCACGGGUGAGUAACACGUAUCCAACCUACCGGUUAUUCCGGGAUAGCCUUUCGAAAGAAAGAUUAAUACCGGAUAGUAUAACGAGAAGGCAUCUUCUUGUUAUUAAAGAAUUUCGAUAACCGAUGGGGAUGCGUUCCAUUAGUUUGUUGGCGGGGUAACGGCCCACCAAGACAUCGAUGGGUAGGGGUUCUGAGAGGAAGGUCCCCCACAUUGGAACUGAGACACGGUCCAA
rnacentral:rRNA from 1 species